GACGAACGCUGGCGGCGUGCUUAACACAUGCAAGUCGAACGGUAAGGCCCUUCGGGGUACACGAGUGGCGAACGGGUGAGUAACACGUGGGUGAUCUGCCCUGCACUUCGGGAUAAGCCUGGGAAACUGGGUCCAAUACCGGAUAGGACUCCGGACUGCAUGGUCUGGGGUGGAAAGCUUUUGCGGUGUGGGAUGGGCCCGCGGCCUAUCAGCUUGUUGGUGGGGUGAUGGCCUACCAAGGCGACGACGGGUAGCCGGCCUGAGAGGGUGACCGGCAACACUGGGAAGGAGAUACGGCCCAGACUCCUACGGGAGUCAACAGUGGGGAACAUUGAACAAUGGGCGCAAGCCUGAUGCAGCGACGCCGCGUGAUCGAUGACGGCCUUCGGGUUGUAAACCUCUUUCAGCAUCGACCUAGAGAAAGUGACGGUAGGUGCAGAAGAAGGACCGGCCAACUACGUGCCAGCAGCCGCCGUAA
rnacentral:rRNA from 1 species